ensembl:lncRNA
GUAGUCUAAAAUGAAUUUAUGAUCGUAUGCUAUCCAUUUGUUUUUUUGUAUGCUGUUCUUUGUAUGCCAUUUUAAUAUUUGAGAAUUAACCAAUGCUAUUAGGCCACUCUUGGCCAUGAUUACAGACACCUGUGUGUCUUUUGACACUAUAUAAACGAGUCAUCCCGCAGUGUUUGUGAUUAUACCCUGAUGAAGAAAGCUUGGCUGUCGAAACGGUGGAUAUUACAUUUUUGCAUCUGAGCUCCUAGAGUGUGCGGCUCCCCUUUAUUUUCAAGUUUUCUACUCCGCUAGCCAGCACCACGCCUAAAUAGUGUGCGUUUCUUUUUCUCCUAGAUUGUCUGUUUUUGUUUGCCUUAUCUUACAUGUAGUACGGUAAUCGCGAAAUAAAGUUUGUCCAUUUAUUUUGCUGUAGAGUAUGUCGACGUUCAACAAGCCAAUGUGGCUGAAUUUGGUCCAUCAGCUCUUUCUCUAGUACAAGAAUGGCUAGCUAAAGUACUGUAAAAUAUUAUCCAGAUCUGACAUAACAACUACCUUAAAAUGCUUCCAGUAUCCUGCUGUCAAAGGGCAAAAAUGUAUAUAGCGAUGGGAAUGUUGAACAACACACAGCCGCUUGCUCAGAAAGCUGCAAGAUGGUGGACAAGCACAAGCUCUUUUUAAUGGCAGGUUCGAUGUCAACCUCUCCCAACCCUUCAUCUAGUAGUCUGCUUCAAAUCUACUGCAUCCCUAGAGUUCCCCCUUCCAUCUUGCAGGAGCCUUGGAAAACUGUGAAGUCUUCUAUAGCCAGACAGGGAGACACAUCAGCCAGCUUGCAGUUUCUCUUUAGAGUGAUAGGUUUGUCCGAUAGGCCAGCAGUCCGAGAACUUCCAAGCAAACAGAUGGUUGACUAUGAUGAGGAGACACAACGUGCUCUUUGUGUAUGUUGGAAAGGAGUCUCCACACAAGGAAGGGGCUCCGGAUGUUUCUUCGAUUCAGAGCAUAGUUUCCAAGAGCAGAGUGAGAGAUAUCACAAUAUAUAUUACAAUAUGUAGCAAUACAAUAUGUAUUAGAAGUUGUUUUGGUCAAAUGAAAUCAGACAUUUUAGUUAACAUAAAUAUCACUAUGUCUGCAGAUAGCAAGCUACUCAGCUCUCCUCAGGCACAGGGCCUAACCUCUGGGGCUAUAGGGGAGAUGGGAAUCAUGAUCUCAAUAUAUGUAAUGAUAUAGAACAUUAUUAGGAAUGAUUUUGAUGAUGUAGAUUGAUGUUGAUAACCGCCUAUGGUGUGGAAUUAGGAACUACAGUUUUCCUGGUCAAGAAGAAAAUCAAGGCCCUAUAAUCAAUUAUAACAUCACUAACAGAUUCAUUUGAUAGUAAAUUAUGUCAAAUGUUAAGGAAUUCAGUGCCUGAAAUCAUGGUAGCAUUCAUAUUCUCCCAGUGUGUUGAUGGACAUUUUAUAAUGAUUAAAAGACACAUUUUCCCCA